rnacentral:rRNA from 1 species
UACGAAGGGGGCUAGCGUUGCUCGGAAUCACUGGGCGUAAAGGGCGCGUAGGCGGAUCUUUAAGUCGGGGGUGAAAGCCCAGGGCUCAACCCUGGAAUUGCCUUUGAUACUGAAGAUCUCGAGACCGGAAGAGGUUAGUGGAACUGCGAGUGUAGAGGUGAAAUUCGUAGAUAUUCGCAAGAACACCAGUGGCGAAGGCGGCUAACUGGUCCGGUUCUGACGCUGAGGCGCGAAAGCGUGGGGAGCAAACAGG